rnacentral:lncRNA from 1 species
CUGGUUACCUGAGCCAGGUCUGGGGCCAGGCAGCAUGCAUUCUAGUCCUGCCUGGGACACUCACUGGCCUCAAGAUCUUGGGCAAAACAGCUGACUGCUUUGCACCUCAGUUUCCUCAUCUGUAAGGUCCAGGACUACCCACUUCCCUUGGAAUGGUGUUGCCAUCACUGUUCUGGCACCGGAGAAAGGAUUCUACAUCGUUAGGAGAAAAGAAAAAGGAGAAUUUGGGCUUGCACUGAGAGGAUUACCUUUGGUGGUCUGGAAGUGGUGAUUGGUGAUAAUGAAACCUACCUUGCUGUUUCAUGUUGAGGAAUCACUGUGAGAAGGUAAGGCCGUAACAAUUUGUCGGAAGGAGAAGGAAGGUCAAAGCUUUGUUGAAGAGCUUUAUGCUAUUGGCCAAACAGAAACAUAGAGCCCUGUGUGUGGUAACUCUCAGGGGACAUGGUUGCCUCGUGGAUAAAAACGUGAGAAUUAGAAGAACAGAAAAAGCCAGCAGGAAAACUCAGAGGAAAGAGUCAGAGAGAACAAGGAUGUUGUCUGUCUCCAGCAUAAUUGUGUAGAGCCUGGGAUUCAUUGCUAGUGACAUUCCCUGGCUUCUCCCUCAGUGUGACGUCAUGUGCUCUGUGAUGUUUAUUGCACUGCAUUCCAGGGAUGCUGCACAGAGCCAUGUCCAGUGUCAGAAACCUUGGAAAAUAGUCCUCGGUUUAAUUUUAACUUUUUAUAUAAACAGUGACCUAAUUUGAGGAAGGCUCGGUCUGGCCAGGCAUCCCCGCUCCCACAUUUCCUCCUCUUCACUCCCUCCUUCUGCCCUUAGUCAAACUGUCUCGCCUUCAUCUCCCAUAUGGACUUUGCAAACAAGCAAGGGGGAUGUGUGAGCUCAGCUAACUUGAAAAGAGAAGACGUGUGCCAGCGAAGCAAAACACUCCAGCCAAGUCAUGCACCUCUGCGGGAGGGAGCCACCUCCUCAGCUCUCAUCGUGAAAUGUUAUCUCACCAGGGCAGAUGGAGGUACAGACAGAGGACUCCAACGCAACACAAGCAGCUGCCUGUCCAGAAGAGAGCCCUUUCUCUCCCUCCCAGUCCCAGCUCCAGCUGUAUUUUCUUUCUUUCUUUCUUGAGCAAGAGGUCAGGUUCUCUCUGUAUGCUUUGUGCAAAUUAAGUGAGCUGUGAGUGCUGCCUGCGGCCGAAGGAACUACCCUCUGGUCUAUGGUUCAUCCUUCCUUCACUCCAACCACCACUGAGGGAGCAGAGCCCUCCCUGCCCAAAUGCACAAGUGGGCAGCACCUCCGAGAACACAGAAGAAUAUGAAACGACCCUUCUAAUUACUCAGGUGCAAGCAGAGGAGCUAACCAUCCCACCGGGAGCCCACCCAUGAGUGAUGAAUUCCAGUGACUGAGCCCAGUGUUGGGGGCUAGGGUAGAGGAAGAGUCCCUUGUGGACACGGUGGGAGGGAGGGAGGCAUGAGGGGACAAGCAGGAUGCCCUGACAGAUUUUAACCCAGAAGCAUGAAUCCAGGUCUGAGGUCAGCAAACGUUUUCUGUAAAGGGCCAGAUAGUAAAUAAUUUGUACUCUUUGUGGGCCAUCCAGUCUCUGUCUACUUGACUCUGCCAUCGUAGGGCAAAAACAACCACAGACAAUAAAUAAACGAACGGGCGUGUCUUGUGUUCCAAUAAAAGAUGGUUUACAAACA